UGCUGGGGGGAAAUGUUUCAAAGAGGAAGUGAGGAGAGAUGUGUGCAGUAGGCAUCUCAGGCAGCUUUCAAGGUUAACACUUGUUCCUGUUUCCAUGGCCUGUUCCAUUUACUCAGAGACAACAUGAUAGCUCUGAGUACCUGCUGCUGUCACCAGCCUCUUGUGUGAUGCCUGGGCAACAAAGUCAUAGAGCUCACCAUGUGAUGAAGAGAUUACCUUGAUCAAAGAAGGAUACAGCAGGGUGUCUGCAGCAAGGAGCAAAGGAAGAGCUGAGACUUCCGGCUGACCUUGGAACCAUGAAUGACCA